UACGUAGGUGGCAAGCGUUGUCCGGAUUUACUGGGCGUAAAGAGCGCGCAGGCGGUUGUUUAAGUCGAAUGUGAAAGCCCCCGGCUCAACUGGGGAGGGUCAUUCGAUACUGAUCGACUUGAAGGCAGGAGAGGGAAGUGGAAUUCCGGGUGUAGUGGUGAAAUGCGUAGAUAUCAGGAGGAACACCGGUGGCGAAGGCGGGUCUCUGGGCAACAACUGACGCUGAGGAGCGAAAGCGUGGGGAGCGAACAGG
rnacentral:rRNA from 1 species